rnacentral:rRNA from 1 species
GAUGAACGCUGGCGGCGUGCCUAAUACAUGCAAGUCGAGCGAACAGACGAGGAGCUUGCUCCUCUGACGUUAGCGGCGGACGGGUGAGUAACACGUGGAUAACCUACCUAUAAGACUGGGAUAACUUCGGGAAACCGGAGCUAAUACCGGAUAAUAUAUUGAACCGCAUGGUUCAAUAGUGAAAGACGGUUUUGCUGUCACUUAUAGAUGGAUCCGCGCCGCAUUAGCUAGUUGGUAAGGUAACGGGUUACCAAGGCGACGAUGCGUAGCCGACCGGAGAGGGUGAUCGGCCACACUGGAACUGAGACACGGUCCAGACUCCUACGGGAGGCAGCAGUAGGGAAUCUUCCGCAAUGGGCGAAAGCCUGACGGAGCAACGCCGCGUGAGUGAUGAAGGUCUUCGGAUCGUAAAACUCUGUUAUUAGGGAAGAACAAAUGUGUAAGUAACUAUGCACGUCUUGACGGUACCUAAUCAGAAAGCCACGGCUAACUACGUG